UGCCGUCGCGUUUCUUCUCCAGCCGGGACACGUUUCAGGAGGAAUGUCAAGUGACUGUGGGGAGGGGAGUGACCUCUUCCACCUGUUGCUUUGCACAUUGCACUCUUUGGUCAGAGGGUUAGAAAUGUCACUGGUUGCAGGGAUGCAAUUGUCACCUCUGGCGAGGUUUCAUCUGCAGGCGCCCACACAGCUGGAACUGAGAGCGGCCUGGUGAACCCGCAGGGCGGUGGGGGGGGGCGACCCCUUGAACGUGCUGACAGCUGAGGGAUCCAUUUGGAGAAGCCCUGGACUGGGUAGGUCCUGCCCCCCUGGGGUCCAGCCCAGUCGUGGAAGGGAUGUCGCCCUGUGCCCAGGGACAGCUUGGAGGCUGAGGACUCCUGCACCCCUCCCCAUAGCCCCUUUGCAGUGCCUGCCCCUUCUCUGCAGGUCCCCGGGUGCAGAAGUGCUAUGAGAAGUGGGCGAAGUGAAACCACCACCCAGGCCCCGGGGAGAGGAACCUGCAACCACCUCCUACCCACAGCCAUGUCCACGCGGCUCUGCAGCAGCUCACACCCGAGUGCUGCCUGUGGUAAAGAGGCUGCCCCUCAAGGUCGUCGGGAUCCGGGGAAGGGCAGGGGCCGCUUUAGGACCCCGUCAUGUCACAAAUGCCAAGACCGAGUGCUACCGGCCAGAGUGAUGAUUCACAAGGUUUCAGAAGCCCCUGGUGACCACGGGGCCAACAGGCAGAGGCCAUCUCUGGUUCCGUCCUAGGUUCAGGCCCCCACGACCUGGAGGACUGCCAAGCCACCUGUGCCCAGGUCCUCUUCCCUAAAACUGGGCCACUGCAGCGGUGCAUGCAGGACGCGCAGCUGUCAAGAGCCACAGAACUCACACAGGACUGGACAGUCACAGCCUCCCGUUGGAAGACGGCAGCAUGAGCUCACCAAUUGAGCGGCCGCGCAGCCAACGCGGUCUACUUGGUUUUUCUCGUGAGCCUAAAACAAUGGCUGGGGUCACGUCCCAGUGAGCAUUUCUCCAGUUAAAGCCAACAGGAGGCCACAGCGGGAAGGAGCUGGGCAUCCGGCAUCCGGAGCAACACUCGGGGACUUCCCGCACGCACUGUCCUCCAACAGCAGAGGAGACGCGGAAGGUGCAAGACCUGGACCUGCCGGAGUCACAAAGGCGAGGAGGGACUUUGCGGAGGGACGCUGCCCCCCCCUCCAGGUGACAGCAGCCAAGGGGCUGGGUGCCUUCCACGGGCUCCGUCACGGACUCAGCGGUGCCAGCAGCCCCAGCACAACUCAGCAGGUGGACACUGUGGGGAAGGGCAGGAUGCUCGCCCAGGGGGCCACCCGCCCCACCCCAUGGUCCACGCCGGAGGGUGUGGGGAGGGACAAGGCUGUGGCCCAAGGUCAGGUCAGCAUCAAGCUUCACCGGUCACGUGUCUUCAUCAAAAAACGUCUACCAGGUGCCA